rnacentral:rRNA from 1 species
GACGUAGGGCGCGAGCGUUGUCCGGAUUUAUUGGGCGUAAAGAGCUCGUAGGCGGCUUGUUGCGUCGACCGUGAAAACCCGGGGCUCAACUUCGGGCUUGCGGUCGAUACGGGCGGGCUAGAGUUCGGUAGGGGAGACUGGAAUUCCUGGUGUAGCGGUGAAAUGCGCAGAUAUCAGGAGGAACACCGGUGGCGAAGGCGGGUCUCUGGGCCGAUACUGACGCUGAGGAGCGAAAGCGUGGGUAGCGAACAGG